AUCGGUGGCCAGCGGGGCUGAGGUGGCCGCCACCGGGCUCAGGGGACCACCGGGAGUUGGUGGCCACCGGCGGUGAGGUGGCCGUGGUCAGGCUGGAGGGGACCACCAGCCAUCAGUGGCCACUGGGGUUGAGAUGGCCACCACUGGGCUGAGGGGAGCACCAGGAGUUGGUGGCCACUGGGGUUGAGGUGGCUGUGGCCAGACUGAGGUGACCACCAGGCAUUGGUGGCCACCAGUGUCGGGGUGGACACUGGCCCUGAGGUGGCCGUGGCCAGGCUGAGGUGGCCGUGGCCAGGCUGAGGUGAUGUCUGCCAGUUUUAAGUGGCCGCCAGGGGUUGAGGUGGCUGCUGCUGGGCUGAGGAGACCACCACACUUAGGUUGCCACUGGG